AUUGAACGCUGGCGGCAUGCCUUACACAUGCAAGUCGAACGGCAGCAUGAUCUAGCUUGCUAGAUUGAUGGCGAGUGGCGAACGGGUGAGUAAUACAUCGGAACGCGCCCUGUAGUGGGGGAUAACUAGUCGAAAGAUUAGCUAAUACCGCAUACGACCUGAGGGUGAAAGUGGGGGACCGCAAGGCCUCAUGCUAUAGGAGCGGCCGAUGUCUGAUUAGCUAGUUGGUGAGGUAAAGGCUCACCAAGGCGACGAUCAGUAGCUGGUCUGAGAGGACGAUCAGCCACACUGGGACUGAGACACGGCCCAGACUCCUACGGGAGGCAGCAGUGGGGAAUUUUGGACAAUGGGCGAAAGCCUGAUCCAGCAAUGCCGCGUGUGUGAAGAAGGCCUUCGGGUUGUAAAGCACUUUUGUCCGGAAAGAAAUGGCUCUGGCUAAUACCUGGGGUCGAUGACGGUACCGGAAGAAUAAGGACCGGCUAACUACGUG
rnacentral:rRNA from 1 species